AACGAACGCUGGCGGCAUGCCUAACACAUGCAAGUCGAACGAGACCUUCGGGUCUAGUGGCGCACGGGUGCGUAACGCGUGGGAACCUGCCCUUAGGUUCGGAAUAACUCCCCGAAAGGGGUGCUAAUACCGGAUAAUGUCUUCGGACCAAAGAUUUAUCGCCUUUGGAUGGGCCCGCGUUGGAUUAGCUAGUUGGUAGGGUAAAAGCCUCCCAAGGCGACAAUCCAUAGCUGGUCUGAGAGGAUGAUCAGCCACACUGGGACUGAGGCACGGCCCAGACUCCUACGGGAGGCAGCAGUGGGGAAUAUUGGACCAUGGGCGAAAGCCUGAUCCAGCAAUGCCGCGUGAGUGAUGAAGGCCUUAGGGUUGUAAAGCUCUUUUACCCGGGCUGAUAAUGACAGUACCGGGAGAAUAAGCUCCGGCUAACUCCGUG
rnacentral:rRNA from 1 species